UGGGGAAUAUUGGACAAUGGGCGCAAGCCUGAUCCAGCCAUGCCGCGUGAGUGAUGAAGGCCUUAGGGUUGUAAAGCUCUUUCGGCGGGGACGAUAAUGACGGUACCCGCAGAAGAAGCCCCGGCUAACUUCGUGCCAGCAGCCGCGGUAAUACGAAGGGGGCUAGCGUUGCUCGGAAUCACUGGGCGUAAAGGGCGCGUAGGCGGACAUUUAAGUCGGGGGUGAAAGCCCAGGGCUCAACCCUGGAAUUGCCUCCGAUACUGGGUGUCUCGAGACCGGAAGAGGUGAGUGGAACUGCGAGUGUAGAGGUGAAAUUCGUAGAUAUUCGCAAGAACACCAGUGGCGAAGGCGGCUCACUGGUCCGGUUCUGACGCUGAGGCGCGAAAGCGUGGGGAGCAAACAGGAUUAGAUACCCUGGUAGUCCACGCCGUAAACGAUGGAUGCUAGCCGUUGGCAGGCUUGCCUGUCAGUGGCGCAGCUAACGCUUUAAGCAUCCCGCCUGGGGAGUACGGCCGCAAGGUUAAAACUCAAAUGAAUUGACGGGGUCAUAGCUGUUUCC
rnacentral:rRNA from 1 species